UACGUAGGGGGCAAGCGUUGUCCGGAUUUAUUGGGCGUAAAGAGCGUGUAGGCGGCCAGGUAGGUCUGCUGUGAAAACUCGAGGCUCAACCUCGAGAUGUCGGCGGAAACCAUCUGGCUAGAGUCCGGAAGAGGAGAGUGGAAUUCCUGGUGUAGCGGUGAAAUGCGCAGAUAUCAGGAAGAACACCCGUGGCGAAGGCGGUUACCUGGAGCUUUGCUGACGCUGAGCCGCGAAAGCCAGGGGAGCGAACGGG
rnacentral:rRNA from 1 species